UAGAUCCAUUUAAAUACUUGGUGCAUAUCAUUUUCAUGUUUCCAUCACUCAGUUUCUCUCUCUCUCUCUUUUUUUUAUAUCUCAGAUGAUGUUGCACCGUAUUUUAAAACGGAGCCGGGCCUCCCACAGAUUCACCUGGAGGGGAACCGCCUGGUCCUCACCUGCCUGGCUGAAGGGAGCUGGCCUCUGGAAUUCAGAUGGACACACAAUGACAGCGAGCUUGGCACCUUCAGCAGCGAGUACAAGUAUGUCAUUCCAUCUUUGCAGAAGAUUGAUGCUGGGUAUUACCGCUGUGUGGUGCGGAACAGAAUGGGAGCCCUCUUGCAGAGAAAGUCCGAAGUUCAGGUUGCAUAUAUGGGACAUUUCAUGGACACAGAGCAGAGGAAAACGGUUUCCCAAGGACAGGCUGCGGUCCUCAACCUGCUGCCCAUCUCCAGCUGCCCCAGACCUCAAGUGACUUGGUUUAGAGAGGGACACAAGAUUAUUCCAAGCAACAGAAUGUAAGUCACUUCUGGUACGAUGAAUUACGCCUGCCUUACCGCUCGCAUAGUCAGUCAACCAACUAAGGUUAGCAGUGGUUUGCAAAGAAUGAGCUAGUCUAGGAGUUCCUCCUCAGUCCUUGGUAAACAGCACUUUUGCU
rnacentral:lncRNA from 1 species